UGUUAAAAAUUUCAUCUAUUUUUACUAUUAAAAAUUGGUAUGAUUAAUAAAAUAAACAGAAAAUGACACAUGUUGUGCCACGUGUAUCUUAUGCUGACGUACAUGGAUCAGUUUUUAACAAUAAAAAUGCAUGUACUUUUUAAUA
rfam:Gossypium hirsutum cultivar TM-1 chromosome 16, whole genome shotgun sequence